GUGCCCGCUUUGGCGGCAAGUACACCAAAACCAGAACGAUACGGGGAAGAUUAGCCUGGCCCUUGCAGAGAAUGACGUGCAAAUUUGCGAAGAGUUUAAUUACAUA
rnacentral:snRNA from 1 species